GGAGAGGUGGCUGAGUGGUCGAAAGCGCCUCACUGCUAACGAGGUAGGGUUUAAAAGCCCUCGAGGGUUCAAAUCCCUCCCUCUCCG
rnacentral:tRNA from 1 species